AGGAUCAUUAUCGUAUAUAAACUUGAACAGGCUGCUGCUGGCUCCCCUCUUGAUUGGGGGUGGGUGUGUGCACGCUUGUCUCAUCUUUAUUAUUUCUCCAACAUGUGCACGUUUUGUAGAUCCCUGGAGCCUUUUUAUGAAUGUUCUCAUUCGAGUGGGGACUGCUGUUGCCUUUUUUUUCUUUGAAAGGCCGGCUUUGCCUUUUCGCCCUUGGGGUCUAUGUCAUUUAUCACAACCUCUCAAACGAGUUUAGAAUGUCUAUUAUGAAAAAGUGAAAUAUACAACUUUCAGCAACGGAUCUCUUGGCUCUCGCAUCGAUGAAGAACGCAGCGAAAUGCGAUAAGUAAUGUGAAUUGCAGAAUUCAGUGAAUCAUCGAAUCUUUGAACGCAUCUUGCGCUCCUUGGUAUUCCGAGGAGCAUGCCUGUUUGAGUGUCAUUUGACUUAUCAACCGCUUCAUCUGAAGUGGCUUUGGAUUGUGGGGGUCUUUGCAGGCUUUUUUCAUCUAAAGGUCGGCUCCCCUGAAACGCAUUAGUGGCAUCUGAGCUGCUACUAUAGGUGUGAUAAAUUAUCUAUGCCUUUGGUAUGCUGCAUGAACGGAUUGCGCUGCUUACAACUGACAAACUUGACAAACUUGACCUCAAAUCAGGUAGGACUACCCGCUGAACUUAAGCAUAUCAAUAAGCGGAGGAAAAGAAACUAACAAGGAUUCCCCUAGUAACUGCGAGUGAAGCGGGAAGAGCUCAAAUUUGAAAUCUGGCGGUUCCUUGGGCCGUCCGAGUUGUAAUCUAGAGAAGUGUUACCUGUGCUGGACCGUGUACAAGUCUCCUGGAAUGGAGCAUCACAGAGGGUGAGAAUCCCGUCUUUGACAUGGACUGCCUGUGCGACAUGGUGCGCUCUCGAAGAGUCGAGUUGUUUGGGAAUGCAGCUCAAAAUGGGUGGUAAAUGCCAUCUAAAGCUAAAUAUUGGCGAGAGACCGAUAGCGAACAAGUACCGUGAGGGAAAGAUGAAAAGAACUUUGGAAAGAGAGUUAAACAGUACGUGAAAUUGCUGAAAGGGAAACGCUUGAAGUCAGUCGCGUCGGCUGGAAAUCAGUCUUGCUUCUGCUUGACGUACUUUCUGGCUCGACGGGUCAGCAUCAGUUUUGACCGCCGGAUAAAGUCAUUGGGAAUGUGGCAUCUUAGGAUGUGUUAUAGCCUGUUGUCGCAUACGGUGGUCGGGAUUGAGGAACUCAGCACGCCGCGAGGCCGGGUC
rnacentral:rRNA from 1 species